rnacentral:misc_RNA from 1 species
GAAAUUAGUCAAAAUACCUCGUUGCCUUCUCUCUUGGAAUCCAUUCAGCAGUAUCUACUUGAAGAUGAUUUUGAAACCCUAACCACUCUUCCGCCACCAAAUUUCUCUGAAGAUUCAAGCUUUGCUACUCCCCUUUCCCAUGAUUUACCCUUCAGUGUUGACGAUCUACUGGACUUUAUCACUUACAGUGAUAUAUGUCAUGAAUUCA